GGAUUGCGCCGGUUCCGAUUCCGCCGACCGCGACUGCGCCGUACGACGGCGGUUCAUCUCCGGCGGCGGCGGUUGAGCUGUCGGCGGCGCGUGAGAGUACGGCGUAUGUUUGGAACGCUAUAGCGUUCUGCAGAUUGAUAGCCAGAGCUUUCGAUUGAUGACGAUGGAUUGGAUUCCGUUUCUGAUGAAGAACAGAUAUGAAGAAGAAGAUGAAGUCACGAAAUUGGUUUGAUUGCACCACAGAAACACACAAAUGAUUCGGAGGGUGCAGAAUCAUGACAUAACUCUAUGUUUCAAUUUACUUGCCGAAUCUCAGGCAUAAUCGCAGCCUAAGAGGAUAAAACAACCUAUGUAAAAAAUCUCAUAACACAAUUAUUGGAUCGAAUUCAGAACAGUAUCAUCUCAAGGCAAGCAUAUGGAAUCAGAUCUUACC